rnacentral:rRNA from 1 species
UACGGAGGGUGCAAGCGUUAAUCGGAAUUACUGGGCGUAAAGGGUGCGUAGGCGGUUGUUUAAGUCUGUUGUGAAAUCCCCGGGCUCAACCUGGGAAUGGCAAUGGAUACUGGGCAGCUAGAGUGUGUCAGAGGAUGGUGGAAUUCCCGGUGGUAGCGGUGAAAUGCGUAGAUAUCAGGAGGAAUACCGAUGGCGAAGGCAGGUCUCUGGGCUGACACUGACGCUCAUGCACGAAAGCGUGGGGAGCAAACAGG